rnacentral:rRNA from 1 species
UACGUAGGGUGCGAGCGUUAAUCGGAAUUACUGGGCGUAAAGCGUGCGCAGGCGGUUAUGUAAGACAGAUGUGAAAUCCCCGGGCUUAACCUGGGAACUGCAUUUGUGACUGCAUAGCUAGAGUACGGUAGAGGGUGGUGGAAUUUCCUGUGUAGCGGUGAAAUGCGUAGAUAUCUGGAGGAAUACCGGUGGCGAAGGCGGCCAUCUGGGCCACCCUUGACGCUGAGACGCGAAAGCGUGGGUAGCAAACAGG